GAUGAAGAACGCAGUGAAAUGCGAUACGUAAUGUGAAUUGCAGAAUUCAGUGAAUCAUCGAGUCUUUGAUCGCACAUUGCGCCCCCUGGUAUUCCGGGGGGCAUGCCUGUCCGAGCGUCAUUGCUGCCCUCAAGCACGGCUUGUGUGUUGGGCCUCCGUCCUCCUCCCGGGGGACGGGCCCGAAAGGCAGCGGCGGCACCGCGUCCGGUCCUCGAGCGUAUGGGGCUUCGUCACCCGCUCUUGUAGGCCCGGCCGGCGCUUGCCGACACAUCAAUCUUUUUUCCAGGUUGACCUCGGAUCAGGUAGGGAUACCCGCUGAACUUAAGCAUAUCAAUAAGCGGAGGA
rnacentral:misc_RNA from 1 species